CAGAUAACAUGGUACAAGGAAGGCAAUUGCUGAGCCUUUUCUAUUCCACUACACCUGGAAUAUGGAUAAGGGAAGGAAAUGCAUGCACCUUUUAGAUCAUCCAAUGUUGAGGAGACAAGGGAUAAGGGAAAGACAAAUAGACAAUUCCUGUGCCUAUCAAUUGCCCGGAGGAGGAGGACGAAUAAAAGUUACCGGUCUUCUCUCAUAGAGAAACCCCUGCCACUGUUUCCAGUGACCCUCCUAUCUUAAAGAAUCUCUCCGUUUUUCUCUCACCGGCAGCAAAUAUCUCAAGAUUGGACAGCAGCAUUCGGUUUCUUUGUUGGAUCCAGAGAUGGUGAAUAUCUUGAUAAGUUGAUUCAUGACAGAUGCUUAACGUAUCUAGAAUCUUUUGUCAAAUUUGCGCUGCAAUGGUCGGUUACAAUCGACCAACCAUGUUUGUUUUUUCUUUCCAUAAACAAACAUGUGGUAUUCCAUAUUCGGUAAAAAUGGUCACCGAUCGCUUGUGAAUUUUGC